UCUUAUUCUGUGGUAGUGUCGGAUUUGAUACUGUUCUUUUUUUAAAGAGGAAAAUGAUAGAUAUGAUAUGAAUGUAUUAUAUUCCUAAGUGACUGACUGCAGGAAGGUGGAAUGAGAAGUGACCGUCAGUUAAUUGAGUCUAUUGCAACCUUGAUGCUUGUUAAUAAGGAUCAGUAGAAUCUCUCAGUAUUGUUAUUAUUUCUCCUGCUGCGCAUGCCUCAGAAUGGAUAUACUGGCACCUGUCUGAGCUUUUGGUUGUGGUCAGACGCUCCCUGGAUGACUUCCUGUGUAAGAGCAUGGAGAGCAGUUUAGCAGAUGUGGAGGAGAAUGAAGAAGAAGAGUCUGGAGCUCGGACCAAUGAUGACGACUGAUGGCGCAUGAGUCGUAUAUACGAUGAAUACUAUGUGUCUGAAACUCUGAGGUCCAGCAGAGAGAAUGUGCGAGAAAGACUGUGUAUGUGGAUGCCUGGGUCACUUUGUUGUUCAGCAGAAACUGGCACAACAUGAAUCAACGCCUCAGCUGAUUUCAGCUUCUGCCACGAUCAAGACUGUCCUGCUGCCACCGUUUUGUAAAAGACCAAGACUGGACUCAGCGAGAUGA
rnacentral:lncRNA from 1 species